rfam:Cucumis melo, WGS project CAJI01000000 data, contig: 24207
GAGCCGUGCGGUGAACGCACAGCGAACUAUUCUUUCGCCUUUUACUAAAGAAUACCGUGUGUUCGCCGUUUUAAGGCGGCAUACGCCUAUUUUUGGAGGGACCUUUUCUCGGGAUUG